rnacentral:ncRNA from 1 species
GGACAAGGGGAAUCUGACUAUUUAAUUAAAACAAAGCAUUGUGAUGGUCCCUGCAUAUGCUGAUGCAAUGUAAUUUACACCCAUUGUUAUGCAUGUGAAAGUGAAUAAAUUCAACCAAGCACGGGUAAAUGACAAGAGUAACUAUGACUCUCUUAAGGUAGUCAGAUGCCUCGUCAUCUACUUAGUGACAUGCGUGAAUGGAUUAACAAUAUUCCC